CACGUACUGUGCAAACGUUAUUCGGAAUCACUGGGCUUAAAGGGUAUGUAGGCGGCCAGUCAAGUCAGAUGUGAAAUGCCACAGCUCAACUGUGGCACUGCGUUUGAAACUGAUUGGCUAGAGUAUUCCAGAGGUAUGCGGAACUUAUGGUGGAGCGGUGAAAUGCGUUGAUAUCAUGGGGAACACCGGAGGCGAAGGCGGCAUACUGGGGGAUAACUGACGCUGAGAUACGAAAGCCAGGGUAGCGAAC
rnacentral:rRNA from 1 species